AGCUCUGCGCAGUGGCAGUAUUGCAGCCAAUGAGGUUUAUCCGAGGCAUGAUUAUUCCUAACUGAAAACUUUUCCCAAUACCCCGCCAUGACGACUUACAAUAUAGUUGGCAUUGUCAAUUUUUAAGUCUCUACAGAGA